rnacentral:misc_RNA from 1 species
AACAAGGCGUACCUGCGGACCUGCGGAGGGAUCAUUACGAGAGUGUCACCACUCCCAACCCACUGUUUACCUACCCGUCCACCGUGCUUCGGCAGGCAGUCCUGUGGGACAGGGCCUCGCCCCCGCGAGGGGGUGCCUGCCGCUGGCCAACCAAAAAUUCUAGCUGUUUUUGUACCAUCUGAGUCUUCCACAAAUAAACAAAACUUUUAACAACGGAUCU